rnacentral:rRNA from 2 species
UUAGCGGCGGACGGGUGAGUAACACGUGGGUAACCUGCCUGUAAGACUGGGAUAACUCCGGGAAACCGGAGCUAAUACCGGAUAGUUCCUUGAACCGCAUGGUUCAAGGAUGAAAGACGGUUUCGGCUGUCACUUACAGAUGGACCCGCGGCGCAUUAGCUAGUUGGUGGGGUAAUGGCUCACCAAGGCGACGAUGCGUAGCCGACCUGAGAGGGUGAUCGGCCACACUGGGACUGAGACACGGCCCAGACUCCUACGGGAGGCAGCAGUAGGGAAUCUUCCGCAAUGGACGAAAGUCUGACGGAGCAACGCCGCGUGAGUGAUGAAGGUUUUCGGAUCGUAAAGCUCUGUUGUUAGGGAAGAACAAGUGCGAGAGUAACUGCUCGCACCUUGACGGUACCUAACCAGAAAGCCACGGCUAACUACGUGCCAGCAGCCGCGGUAAUACGUAGGUGGCAAGCGUUGUCCGGAAUUAUUGGGCGUAAAGGGCUCGCAGGCGGUUUCUUAAGUCUGAUGUGAAAGCCCCCGGCUCAACCGGGGAGGGUCAUUGGAAACUGGGAAACUUGAGUGCAGAAGAGGAGAGUGGAAUUCCACGUGUAGCGGUGAAAUGCGUAGAGAUGUGGAGGAACACCAGUGGCGAAGGCGACUCUCUGGUCUGUAACUGACGCUG